AGGGAAUCUUCGGCAAUGGACGAAAGUCUGACCGAGCAACGCCGCGUGAGUGAAGAAGGUUUUCGGAUCGUAAAACUCUGUUGGUAGAGAAGAACGUUGGUGAGAGUGGAAAGCUCAUCAAGUGACGGUAACUACCCAGAAAGGGACGGCUAACUACGUGCCAGCAGCCGCGGUAAUACGUAGGUCCCGAGCGUUGUCCGGAUUUAUUGGGCGUAAAGCGAGCGCAGGUGGUUUAUUAAGUCUGGUGUAAAAGGCAGUGGCUCAACCAUUGUAUGCAUUGGAAACUGGUAGACUUGAGUGCAGGAGAGGAGAGUGGAAUUCCAUGUGUAGCGGUGAAAUGCGUAGAUAUAUGGAGGAACACCGGUGGCGAAAGCGGCUCUCUGGCCUGUAACUGACACUGAGGCUCGAAAGCGUGGGGAGCAAACAGGAUUAGAUACCCUGGUAGUCCACGCCGUAAACGAUGAGUGCUAGAUGUAGGGAGCUAUAAGUUCUCUGUAUCGCAGCUAACGCAAUAAGCACUCCGCCUGGGGAGUACGACCGCAAGGUUGAA
rnacentral:rRNA from 1 species